ACAACCCAAGGCGCCACCGCCCCAAGAAACCACCGAUUCGAAUUCACCGUCGCCCACCCGUACCAGCUCGUCGCCGCCGCCCCAGACACCCCCAGCCCCCGCCACCAUCUCCACCACCCAGCGCGAACCCUUCACCACCAACUCUGAAAUCGCCGUCGCCGCCCACCAUCCAACACGCCCCUGCCGCAUCUGCCGUCCCGCGUGACCACCGGUGCGCAUGGAUCCGGCAGGAUCCCGACCUGACUGGACCAGGGAUGACAUUCGCAGGCACUGGGGUCAUCACAGACUGCGCCCCAGCCGUCGCUGCGGACUGCUCCGCAUCGCCGCCGGUAGAAGCAAUAGAAACUGGUGCUGGUCGGGUCAGCCCGACUUGGAACUCCCACUGUCACUGUCAUGUCACCAAGAUGAGGAAUCAGGUUCAGAAAUUCCCACACACAACGCCUAGCAGAGCAUUUUUGACAAGACAGGAACCAAGUUGCGUACCUGGCCGGGCAUGACCUCCCCGUUGAUGCUGCUGAUGUUGAUCCCGGCAUAGAGGCAAGCCUUGUAGUGGGCAUCCAUGAUGUCGUGCCCGAACGCCUUGUCGGCGCCGGCGGUGCAGUACUAUGACCCCUGCACAAAUGCACACAAUCAAUAUCAUUUGAAAACCUACUACCUUCAGUGAAUUGUGGACAAUUUUGAGUUCAAGAACAUAUUCGUUUUAUGUUUUAUAUGUAAGCUUGAACAGAUUUGUUGAGAAUUUUCUUGCCUGAGGGCCAGGGUAGCCACCAAUGGGCCAGCCAAGAGGCCAGUCCACGUCCUUCUGGAGGAGAGUGUACUCCUGCUCAAUACCAUACCUGUUUGGGUUCAGAGAUUAGCCUAAUCAGUACCGUAACCGUAAGCAGAUAAGGAUACAAAGGCUCCCUUGCAGAGAGUUGGCUCUGGUCGUGCUUGAGGCCGCUGUCGCUUAUGGCCGUUGUACACCAAGUGCAAAGACGUUUUGUGAAAAGUUCUAGUACAGCUAUACGGUGGCCACCCUGAAGUUCUACUAUGGAUGUAUGCCAAGUUCUAUAACGGCUAUAUGCCGACUGUCACGCUCCAGCUCGUCGUAUUGCUGGUGGAGCUGGUGUCGGUGCAACAGCAAGUGUCAGGGACUCCUUCCUCGUUGACACGGGCGGAGACGCUCAAGACGUUGGCGCUGCAGAGCAUUAUACGUUGUUGUCAAGUUGGCUCACUUAUAUUGGAAUAAGGAAAAACAGCUGAAGGUCAAAAGAAAUUGUUUGAGAAGGUCAAAAGUAUGUUAAAGUAUAUUUUCUGGAACACCAACACUCUUUUGAAAUCAAUGCUGGCAAGUUUUUGCACCUGCGUACUGCAGAACGAAAGAAACAUUGUGUCUUUGUUGUUCCAUGCUGAAUUAUUGAGCCAAUUGAUGGACGCCAUGGGCCGAGAACAAAAUUUGAAGAAAUUAACUGAAGAUUGCGUUGACUCUUGA